UCCCAGUUAACCCGGGCAGUCUGACUAGAGUACCCACCUUUACGUGUUGGCAACUAAUCAUAAGGGUUGCGCUCGUUGCGGGACUUAACCCAACACCUCACAGCACGAGCUGACGACAGCCAUGCAGCACCUGUGCAGCGACCCUUGCGGGAGAUGCCAUCUCUGGCACUGUCCGCUGCAUUUCAAACCUGGGUAAGGUUCUUCGCGUUGCAUCGAAUUAAACCACAUGCUCCACUGCUUGUGCGAGCCCCCGUCAAUUCUUUUGAGUUUCACCCUUGCGAGCGUACUCCCCAGGCGGUGCACUUAACGCGUUAGCUACGACACAAUGGGGAUUGAUUCCCACUACGUCUAGUGCACAUCGUUUAAGGCAAGGACUAC
rnacentral:misc_RNA from 1 species